AUUGAACGCUGGCGGCAGGCCUAACACAUGCAAGUCGAACGAGUGGCGGCCGGGUGUGUAAUGUCUGGGAAACUGCCCGAAGGAGGGGGAUAACUACUGGAAACGAUAACUAAUACCGCAUACCAUCGGAUGUGCCCAGAUGGGAUGAGCUAGUGGGUGGGGUAAAGGCUCACCUAGGCGACGAUCCCUCGCAGGUCUGAGAGGAUGACCAGACACACCGGAACGGAGGCACGGUCCCGACUCCUACGGGAGGCGGCAGUGGGGAAUAUUGCACGAUGGGGGCAAGCCUGAUGCAGCCAUGCCGCGAGUAUGAAGAAGGCCUUCGGGUUGUAAAGGACUUUCAGCGGGGAGGCGUUACCCGCAGAAGAAGCACCGGCUAACUCCGUGCCAGCAGCCGCGGUAAUAC
rnacentral:rRNA from 1 species